rnacentral:rRNA from 1 species
GAUGAACGCUGGCGGCGUGCCUAAUACAUGCAAGUCGAGCGAACAGACGAGGAGCUUGCUCCUCUGACGUUAGCGGCGGACGGGUGAGUAACACGUGGAUAACCUACCUAUAAGACUGGGAUAACUUCGGGAAACCGGAGCUAAUACCGGAUAAUAUAUUGAACCGCAUGGUUCAAUAGUGAAAGACGGUUUUGCUGUCACUUAUAGAUGGAUCCGCGCCGCAUUAGCUAGUUGGUAAGGUAACGGCUUAUCAAGGCAACGAUGCGUAGCCGACCUGAGAGGGUGAUCGGCCACACUAGAACUGAGACACGGUCCAGACUCCUACGAGAGGCAGCAGUAGGGAAUCUUCCGCAAUGGGCGAAAGCCUGACGGAGCAACGCCGCGUGAAUGAUGAAGGUCUUCGGAUCGUAAAACUCUGUUAUUAGGGAAGAACAAAUGUGUAAGUAACUAUGCACGUCUUGACGGUACCUAAUCAGAAAGCCACGGCUAACUACGUG